UCUUCUUUGCUUCUGGUACUGAAAAAAAAAACCAGAAUAAUCCUUCUGCUACUCUUCAUGAUAAAAAAUUCAUUACCAUAAUUGCCCAACCAGACCAAAGUCAUGAGCAAGAAAUUCCCCAAACAUGUAGAGUGUCUUCCACAUGGGGACUAAAUAUGUGACUCCGCAAGCCCCAGUACUUGUGUCUUUUAACUAGUACAAAGUGAUGGACAUCUGGAGCAGAACUAGCUCAGUCCUGGAGCUGCCAAGGCAUCAUAUCUGUCCCACACAUUUUUUCAAAUCCAGAGGUCAUUGAGAAAAGAAAAAUAAGACCUGGUAUGUAGUACAGAGAAAUCACCGGACAGAUUUCUUCUGUCUGUGGAAAACUUCCACGAGUGUCAAAGAACCCCCGUAUCUGUGGCUCAUAGUAAGGGCUGAGGUGGUACUUAGGCGCUGUGGGUGUGCCUGUGUUCAGCCUCUGCCUAUUACUAGGUUUAAAAUUAUUAUUUUACUCUUUGAGUAGUGAACAUCAGCUACAUUAUAACCUCUGGUUCUUGAUUGCAGAUAGAGCUGAGAUGCAAUGCCGCCACGCAACAGAAAAAGGUCAAGGAACUGUGUCAUGCCAUACCAUGCCGGGGCACUUGUGUGGCACAGUGAGAAAUGGUGAAUACAGAGGAGCAGCGUGAGAAUACACAAGAGGAUGUGGUCUGCCUCCCCUUGAAGUGACUCCACAUAUCUGCUUGCAGACCAGCUCCUCAGCUUCUAUUGUGCACUACUACAUUGAGUACUGCAAACCACUGUACCAGCCAUCAGAUGCUUGUGCUUCAGCUCCUGCACAGAGAAGAGGCUCUAUUGUCACGCCGUGUAACCAAAGGGCAGGAUGAUGCAGGAGCCACCCCUGCAAACCUCAAGUUGUAGUAACACAAGUGCCUUCUUCAGCAGCAAAGCCAUUUAAAGAACUUUCUACUCCAUGUCAUCACCAUUCUCUUGUGGCUGUGUCACAGUGUAUUUGUCUUUCAGGAGCCUCUGUUACAGCUGCUGGUAUCAGUGAAACAAUCCAAGUUAAAAGUUCUUCUAGCAAACAGCUAGGGAGUUUGCUUGUUUGUUUUACUUCAUUUUGAUUAGGAUUAUUUUACUACCAACUCUACUUUCUCCAUAGCACAACAGGUUUACAACAAGUAAUGCAUUGCUAGAAGUCAGAAACUCCUCUUCUACUGG
rnacentral:lncRNA from 1 species